UUGACCUCAAAUCAGGUAGGACUACCCGCUGAACUUAAGCAUAUCAAUAAGCGGAGGAAAAGAAACUAACAAGGAUUCCCCUAGUAACUGCGAGUGAAGCGGGAAAAGCUCAAAUUUAAAAUCUGGCGGUCUUGCGGCCAUCCGAGUUGUAAUCUGGAGAAGCGUUUAUCCGCGUCGGACCGUGUACAAGUCUUCUGGAAGGGAGCGUCGUAGAGGGUGAGAAUCCCGUCUUUGACACGGACAACCGGUGCUUUUGUGAUGCGCUC
rnacentral:rRNA from 1 species